rnacentral:rRNA from 1 species
UACGAAGGGGGCGAGCGUUGUUCGGAAUUACUGGGCGUAAAGGGCGCGUAGGCGGCGACCCAAGUCAGAUGUGAAAGUCCUGGGCUUAACCUGGGGACUGCAUUUGGGACUGCAAGGCUGGAGUUUGGCAGAGGAGACUGGAAUUCCCGGUGUAGCAGUGAAAUGCGUAGAUAUCGGGAGGAAUACCGAUGGCGAAGGCAGGUCUCUGGGCUAUAACUGACGCUCAUGCACGAAAGCGUGGGGAGCAAACAGG